GACCACCCUCUGUCGCUGGCUUUCAGAAAAGUCAUCACUGAUUGCAAAGAGCAUGAAAAGCAUGGUGAUGACAAUAUCGCUUACCUCUUGUGAGGAUCUGGCUUCUCACGGCUGCUGAGAACGUAUUGCCCUGUUGGGAGACACCAGGGAAUUACAAUUUCAAUGCUAAGGAGCAGCACAAGGGGAUAGAGAGCAGACAAACUGCAUUAUCCUGCCCUAUUCUUCUUUGGUCAAAGACACUCCUCAGUGAUGCCAAGCUAUGGAUGCCUUCGAGCCCAAUUUGGUUGAAGCAGACAGGGAUGGUGCAAUAGUCUGUGGUCUGGCAGUGGGGAAGGGGGGGACCCUGAGCUGGUUUCUGGUCAGUGGGAACCUGCAAGCAGAAGUCGAUAAGAUCACACACCUGAGUGAGUGCAGAAGGGCUGUGAAAUUGGGACCUUGGUAUGCAGAAGCAAGGGAAAGAAAAAUAGUCCUAUCACCGCAAACAGUGAAGUCCAUGCAGAGUACCUUAGAAAUGAUUGACACUCUGAAUAGACAGAAAUUGUGUAACUCAUGCCAAAGACUUUUCAACUAUCAUAGGUUUCAUUAUGUAACAUGGAAAACACAGGGAUUUGUGUGGCCUUACGUGGCUCCAUAAAAUGAAAGAUAGCUUUGCUCAUGUCCUGUUGAAAGGUGAGGAGAGGAAAGCAACAGCUUGUGAGGUAUUUUAGAGAAAGCUGUUGGAGAAGUAGCGGAGAGAAACCACAGAAGAAUGUGCAAGAACAGAUUUUCACUUCUGUUCAUCACAACACAAUCCUUGCAAGUCUUAAACCAUAAUCCAAAAAUCCAAAAACUUUUGGAUCCUGGAAGCAAGCCCAAGACUGAUUUAAGGUUUUAUCCCAGUUGGUUCAAUUGCAUUUGUGUAAGCUAUAUAAACCACGGACCUCCCUGUGCACCCUACAAAGCCCAUGUCUUCCACAACUAGAGAGGCAGCAGCUCUCUUGGUGGGGAGGGGACCUGCCAGGAGGUUGGUGCAGGCCUUCAUCCUUGGGAGGAGGUGUAGGAGCUGAACUACCUUACUGACAGGGACAAGUCCUCAGACAAUUGAAAUGGUCAUUGAUUUAUGUGCUUACAGCUCAUACCAAAUGAAGGGUUGUGCAGGCUUUAAAAUAAAGAUGGCUUGCCUGUUUCA
rnacentral:lncRNA from 1 species